AUUGAACGCUGGCGGCAGGCCUAACACCUGCAAGUCGAACGAGUGGCGGACGGGUGAGUAAUGUCUGGGAAACUGCCUGAUGGAGGGGGAUAACUACUGGAAACGGUAGCUAAUACCGCAUACCAUCAGAUGUGCCCAGAUGGGAUUAUCGAUUAGGUGGGGUAACGGCUCACCUAGGCGACGAUCCCUAGCUGGUCUGAGAGGAUGACCAGCCACACUGGAACUGAGACACGGUCCAGACGCCUACGGGAGGCAGCAGUGGGGAAUAGUGCACAAUGGGCGCAAGCCGUAUGCAGCCAUGCCGCGUGUAUGAAGAAGGCCUUCGGGUUGUAAAGUACUUUCAGCGGGGAGGCGUUACCCGCAGAAGAAGCACCGGCUAACUCCGUGCCAGCAGCCGCGGUAAUUC
rnacentral:rRNA from 1 species